rnacentral:lncRNA from 1 species
UAUAUAUAUAUAUAUAUAUAUAUAUAUAUUGAUCUUAUGUUAUAGAGAUAGAUAGAUCUUGAUUAGUUAGGGAGGGAUCGGAGAAGAUGAACAUGUGUGUGGUGUGAAGAAAUCACCGGAAAACAGCGAUAUUAUUUUGAGAGAGACAGAGAGAGAAUUGGAAGAGUGGUUUUGUAUAUAUGUAUACAUAUAUAUUUGCGAGUAUAUAUUACUACGUACUCGAGAGAGAGAUAUU